rnacentral:rRNA from 1 species
GACGAACGCUGGCGGCGUGCUUAACACAUGCAAGUCGAACGGUAAGGCCCUUCGGGGUACACGAGUGGCGAACGGGUGAGUAACACGUGGGUGAUCUGCCCUGCACUUCGGGAUAAGCCUGGGAAACUGGGUCUAAUACCGGAUAGGACCACUGCCUGCAUGGGUGGUGGUGGAAAGCUUUUGCGGUGUGGGAUGGGCCCGCGGCCUAGCAGCUUGUUGGUGGGGUGAUGGCCUACCAAGGCGACGACGGGUAGCCGGCCUGAGAGGGUGACCGGCCACACUGGGACUGAGAUACGGCCCAGACUCCUACGGGAGGCAGCAGUGGGGAAUAUUGCACAAUGGGCGCAAGCCUGAUGCAGCGACGCCGCGUGAGGGAUGACGGCCUUCGGGUUGUAAACCUCUUUCAGCACCGACGAAGCGCAAGUGACGGUAGGUGCAGAAGAAGGACCGGCCAACUACGUGCCAGCCGCCGCGGUAAAAC